rnacentral:lncRNA from 1 species
UUCUAUACUCAUCCAAAUUGAUUGAUUCAUGUCGAACCAUCCUCAUCACAAACCAUAAGUCUCCUUGUACACCAUAAAGUGUUAGUUACAAUGAUUCCCUAAGUGUCGAACAACUAUCUCCCUCGUUUAACAAGGAAGAACUAAACCCCAUCAUACCCGUCCCCAAAUCAAACUCCAAGAUAUGAUCCUCCAACUGAUACCCCCCUAAAAUAACUGAACCGGUCAUACCCAUACCGCCAUCGACAAAGCCCAAACACAUCACCGAAUCACUGACUUCCACCAUCGAAUUCCGCCCUUGUAUCCUCCACUUGACGAGUUGGCUCUGCAUCACCAUUUGGAUCUCGGGCACAGUUGCCUGAGAAGGAAAACACACCCCAAACGGCGCCACCGGAGACACCACAGUCAUGUUCAUGGCCGUAACAAAAGCUUUUGUGAAGAUUUCAUAAAGUGAGCUCUUCAUGACAGUGUAAGGAACCGUUGAGCUUAUUUCUACACCUCCUAUGGGCUGCCCUACACCCAAUUUCCUACCGUUAAUUUUGAUGGAAUUCACAUUCACAUAGUACCCAUCCACUGACAUCAACGGAGUGUAAGACAGAGAUUUAGAGAUCCCGGCGCCGGAAAUUAUAAAUCCGUCCGAUGAAGACAAGCAGACAGUGAACUUUCUGGGGAAGUCAAAAGCGUUGACCAUCUGAGAUUGAAACGCAACUUUUGACCUUCCGAAACCCAGCACACCUUUGGCACUGUUGACCAGGCCUUUGACUAAAUAUUCCGGCGAACACGAAAACAAAAAGCUUUCAAGGGUCAUACCAUCGACGGAGACUAUAUCCUGGGCGAGAUCUCCGAAAGUGGUGUCUCCGGUGAUGGGGUUGUGUUGGGGAACCUGACAACUGGGAGAUGGACCAGCCAUCAAGCAUUGGAGGGAGCCAUGGCUGAGGAAGGUCCGAGAUGGGGGGCAGUUGUUUAGCCAUAGGGAUUGACCGGAGAGAUGGAGGACGAGUUUGGUGGGAAGUGGAGGAGUUCCGAUGAGCAAUUGGGUGUAGGUAGUGAGUGGCUGAGGCCGAUGGAGAGAAGAAGAAGAAAGAGAAUGAAAAGAUAAGAAGCCAUGGAAGAUUGCAAUACGCGGCGGGAGGGAGGAGGAGGAAAUCACAUGGAAUAAAUUUAGGAACUAGAUAACACGUUUUUGUGGGUGGAUAUUAUUUUAUUGGUUUACUUUAGUGACACAUCACACACUCAUCGGCCUUAUCCUAUUCCGUCUUUAUAUUAAAAAAUUAUUAAUUAAUAAUAAUUCUUUCAUAUUU